rnacentral:misc_RNA from 1 species
AAAGUCGUAACAAGGUCUCCGUAGGUGAACCUGCGGAGGGAUCAUUAACGAAUGGUCUCUGUACCUUCAAACCCCUCAAACCUGUGGAAAUAUCAUACACAUGUGCUUCGGCGCUCGCUCCAGAGCGCCGCUUUUAUGCAGUCUCAGUAUUUUCUGUCUGUUAUGAAACAAAAAGUCAAAACUUUCAACAAAGGAUCUCUUGGCUCUC